AUUGAACGCUGGCGGCAGGCCUAACACAUGCAAGUCGAGCGGAUGAAGGGAGCUUGCUCCUGGAUUCAGCGGCGGACGGGUGAGUAAUGCCUAGGAUUCUGCCUGGUAGUGGGGGAUAACGUCCGGAAACGGGCGCUAAUACCGCAUACGUCCUGAGGGAGAAAGUGGGGGAUCUUCGGACCUCACGCUAUCAGAUGAGCCUAGGUCGGAUUAGCCAGUUGGUGGGGUAAAGGCCUACCAAGGCGACGAUCCGUAACUGGUCUGAGAGGAUGAUCAGUCACACUGGAACUGAGACACGGUCCAGACUCCUACGGGAGGCAGCAGUGGGGAAUAUUGGACAAUGGGCGAAAGCCUGAUCCAGCCAUGCCGCGUGUGUGAAGAAGGUCUUCGGAUUGUAAAGCACUUUAAGUUGGGAGGAAGGGCAGUAAGUUAAUACCUUGCUGUUUUGACGUUACCAACAGAAUAAGCACCGGCUAACUUCGUG
rnacentral:rRNA from 1 species